AGCUCGGAGCCCUACAACGGAAGUUUUACCGUGCUUUAACUAUAAAGAACUGUGUUGAAGAUACGUAUGGCCUCCCAGAGCCUGGCCAAUUAGUUAAGAUAUUUAAAGAAAUCCAAAGAUGAUUUUCUAAAAACACCAUACUGAUUUUAAAAGAACAAGAGAAUUUAGGACGUGUUUGCUAUAUGUAUGAACAGAUACUAGAAGACCGAGUGAUAAUUCAAACUUUCAGUAGCACUGCAAAGGAGGACAAACUUGAGUCUUCAACUUCGAGGCGUGCAAACGUGUUAAAUGUGCACAAGUGGAAACUUUCUACUACUCCUUCAGAAUUGAAAGUUCGAAGAGGUUUAUAAAAUUAUUUGUCCCCCUGGAGGACAAAUGAUUUCUUAACGUUAUUCAAGCUGUCAGACGUGAAGAAAGAAGUUCAGCCAAAGGUCAGAAACAUGUGUUUGAGUUUUCUUUUUUUUUUUUUUCUUUUUUUUUCUUUUUCUUUUUUUUUUUGUUGAAUUCAGCCGAGUUCAGUCACAGCUGCAAGUGAAGCUCCACACUUAAUUCUAAAUAUAAGGCAUGUUUCAGUAAAUCAAAUUGUGCUCAGAAAGUUUCCACAAAUAGCUAAAAUAUCAAGAUUUGGAUUUUACACACCUAUGUUUUUUGUUAUAAGCGAAUUUCGGAUAAUGCUUUCUAUACUGCUUUUGGAACUAAGAGCAAUGCCAAAAAGAUAUAAACAACCUUGCUU